rnacentral:sRNA from 1 species
ACAAAGGGGAUUGUGAAAUUCCCGAGAAUAGAAUAGUUUAGUUAAGUCUAGUUUAGUUUUUGUGUUGGAAAAGCAUCGUAAACAUCCGUUUUCGAUGCUUUUUUUGU